rnacentral:rRNA from 1 species
GACGAACGCUGGCGGCGUGCUUAACACAUGCAAGUCGAACGGUAAGGCCCUUCGGGGUACACGAGUGGCGAACGGGUGAGUAACACGUGGGUGAUCUGCCCUGCACUUCGGGAUAAGCCUGGGAAACUGGGUCUAAUACCGGAUAGGACCACUGCCUGCAUGGGUGGUGGUGGAAAGCUUUUGCGGUGUGGGAUGGGCCCGCGGCCUAUCAGCUUGUUGGUGGGGUGAUGGCCUACCAAGGCGACGACGGGGAGCCGGCCUGAGAGGGUGACCGGCCACACUGGGACGGGGAUACGGCCCAGACUCCUGCGGGGGGCAGCAGUGGGGAAUAUUGCACAAUGGGCGCAAGCCUGAUGCAGCGACGCCGCGUGAGGGAUGACGGCCUUCGGGUUGUAAACCUCUUUCAGCACCGACGAAGCGCAAGUGACGGUAGGUGCAGAAGAAGGACCGGCCAACUACGUGCCAGCAGCCGCCGUAA